AUUGAUUUUUUUGCCUUUUGGCUAAGAUUGAUUGUAGUAUCAGUUCUUGUAAGUUUAAUAUCUAUUACAUCCUCUACCUGAAGAUAAUGUAUUAUAAAGAUUUGAGACCUAGUACAUAGAAUAGGAGCUUAUUCAAUUCAUUCCACAUACUGACUUGGCAUUACUGUACUUCCAGGAAUUGUGUACCUCUA